UACGUAGGGUGCGAGCGUUAAUCGGAAUUACUGGGCGUAAAGCGUGCGCAGGCGGUUUUGUAAGCCAGGUGUGAAAUCCCCGGGCUCAACCUGGGAAUGGCAUUUGGGACUGCAAGGCUGGAGUGUGGCAGAGGAGACUGGAAUUCCUGGUGUAGCAGUGAAAUGCGUAGAUAUCAGGAGGAAUACCGAUGGCGAAGGCAGGUUUCUGGGCUGACACUGACGCUCAUGCACGAAAGCGUGGGGAGCAAACAGG
rnacentral:rRNA from 1 species